rnacentral:rRNA from 1 species
GAUGAACGCUGGCGGCGUGCCUAAUACAUGCAAGUCGAGCGAAUGGAUUGAGAGCUUGCUAUUAUGAAGUUAGCGGCGGACGGGUGAGUAACACGUGGGUAACCUGCCCAUAAGACUGGGAUAACUCCGGGAAACCGGGGCUAAUACCGGAUAACAUUUUGAACCGCAUGGUUCGAAAUUGAAAGGCGGCUUCGGCUGUCACUUAUGGAUGGACCCGCGUCGCAUUAGCUAGUUGGUGAGGUAACGGCUCACCAAGGCAACGAUGCGUAGCCGACCUGAGAGGGUGAUCGGCCACACUGGGACUGAGAACCGGCCCAGACUCCUACGGGAGGCAGCAGUAGGGAAUCUUCCGCAAUGGACGAAAGUCUGACGGAGCAACGCCGCGUGAGCGAUGAAGGCUUUCGGGUCGUAAAACUCUGUUGUUAGGGAAGAACAAGUGCUAGUUGAAUAAGCUGGCACCUUGACGGUACCUAACCAGAAAGCCACGGCUAACUACGUGCCAGCCGCCGCAGUAA